ACGGUCGCCGACAGGCGCCCCCAAGCCCUCUGGGAAGUGGAGUCCUCGCGCCUGGACCCCCGACCCGACGCGGGCGCCUCCGAGUGCGCAGAUGCGAGUCCGCCCGGAGCCGCGGGCUGGAGCCUUUUGUCUCCCGCGGCUCGGGGUGUGAGUCGGCGCCUCCUUCCCGCCCCCCGCCCGCCCGGCCCGGGCCCGGGCGACAGAAGAGCUUCACAGCUGAGCCAAACAGUCUCUGCAAAGAAGAUUCUGAAUUGCUGGAAAAUCCCAGCCUGUGAAGAAACUGAAAUUCGGUGAUAACAGGAUAAACGAGAAGCUGAUCAUGGAUUACCUGAGCAUUGAGGUUGAGGAGGAAGCCCUGAGGACAGAGGAUGCCGCCCUGUCCCCAAACCAGAGCGCCGAAGAGGUGGAGCCGACUGCAGAGCCCUUUCCUGCUGAGUUCCAGG